AGGCCCCUAAAUAUAUGCUAAGUGCAAAGGUUGUAUGAAAACAUAGACAGUCAGGAGGUUGGCUUAGAAGCAGCAAUCCUUUUAAAAGUGCGUAAUAGCUUACUGAUUAAGUUUGCUUGCGCCGAUAAUGCUCGGGACUAAGCAUUUUGCCGAAGUUGCGAUUACAAGGUAGGAAAGCGUUCUGUUUUAUUUGAAGUAUUGUUGUAAAAUUGUAUGGAUAAUUCAGAAGUGAGAAUGUCGGCUUAAGUAACGAAAAAAUUGGUGAGAAUCCAUUUCUCCGAAAGUCUAAGGUUUCCUUGGCAAGGCUCGUCCACUAAGGGUUAGUCAGCUUCUAAAAUGAGGUUUAAAUACGUAAUUGAUGUUAAACAGGUUAAUAUUCCUGUACUUAAUUUUUUCUGGCUUAAGGCGACGAAAAAAGUUAAUACUGGCCAGGUUUUGGUUCUUGGUUUAAAUUUUGAGGCGUUGAGAAAUAUAAACAAAAAAUGUUUUGAGUCAAAAAAUGAAUACAAAAUUGCUAAGGCAAUUGAGCAGUUGAUAUUUUUUUCCUAGAAAAAACUUUUAAAGUGGUAGCAAAAAUUAAGCUGUACUCCAAACUGACACAGGUAGAUGGGUUGAAUAUACUAAGGAGCGCGAGAUAACUCUUCUUAAGGAACUCGGCAAAAUAACCUUGUAACUUCGGGAGAAAAGGUGCCUUAUUUAGGUAAGGUUGCAGUGAAAGGGUCUAAGUGACUGUUUAUCAAAAACACAGGUCUCCGCUAAGUCGAAAGACGAUGUAUGGGGGCUGACGCCUGCCCAGUGCCGGUAGGUGAAAGAAAUUGGUUAGAUUUUCGAAGCUAGUGACUUAAGCCCCGGUGAACGGCGGCGAUAACUAUAAUCGUCUUAAGGUAGCGAAAUUCCUUGUCGGGUAAGUUCCGACCUGCACGAAAGGCGUAACAAUUUAGAUACUGUCUCAAGAAGAGACUCGGUGAAAUAGAAUUAACCGUGAAGAUGCGGUUGACUUGCACUUGGACAGAAAGACCCUAUGAAGUUUUAAGGUAAUUUGAAAUUAAAUUUGGAUUUUUCUUGCGCAGUAUAAGUGGGAGGCAAUGAUAAAUUUUUUUUGGAAAAUUUUGAGCCAUUAGUGAGAUACCACUCUGGAAAAGUUAAAAUUUUAAAGACAGAUAUUAACUAUUUGUUUGACAUUUUCAGACGGGCCUUUUUACUGGGGCGGUAGCCUCCUAAAAUGUAACGGAGGCGUACAAAGGUUUACUCAAACUAGUUGGAAAUUAGUUUAAGAAUGUAAAGGUAAAAGUAAGCUUAACUGUUAGACUUAUAAGUCAAACAGUGACGAAAGUCGGUCUUAGUGAUCCGAUGUUUUUAAAUGGUUGAGACAUCGCUUAACAGAUAAAAAUUACUCUAGGGAUAACAGGCUGAUCUUCCCCAAGAGUUCACAUCGACGGGGAGGUUUGGCACCUCGAUGUCGGCUCAUCGCAACCUGGAGCAGUAGUAUGUUCCAAGGGUUGGGCUGUUCGCCCAUAAAAGCGGUACGUGAGCUGGGUUCAGAACGUCGAGAGACAGUUCGGUCCAUAUCCGGUGCAAGCGAGAAGAGUAUUGAGAAGUUCUUUUUCUAGUACGAGAGGACCGAAAAGGAUAUACCAAUGGUGUUCCAGUUCUUAUUCCAAUAGGAAAUGCUGGGUAGCUACGUAUGUUGUGGAUAACUGC
rnacentral:rRNA from 1 species